GGAUCCUUAGUGUAGCGGUUAGCAUGUCUGCUUUACAUGUAGAAGAUCUUGGGUUUGCGCCUCAGUGGAGCCA
rnacentral:tRNA from 1 species